CGAUAAUGGUGAGGCAGGACUGUACUGUAUACCGUGACACUGCGAAUGGCUCAUUAAAUCAGUUAUCGUUUAUUUGAUAGUACCUUACUACUUGGACAACCGUGGUAAUUCUAGAGCUAAUACAUGCUAAAAACCUCGACUUCGGAAGGGGUGUAUUUAUUAGAUAAAAAACCAAUGCCCUUCGGGGCUCUUUGGUGAUUCAUGAUAACUUAACGGAUCGCAUGGCCUUGCGCCGGCGACGGUUCAUUCAAAUUUCUGCCCUAUCAACUUUCGAUGGUAAGGUAUUGGCUUACCAUGGUGUCAACGGGUAACGGGGAAUUAGGGUUCGAUUCCGGAGAGCGAGCCUGAGAAACGGCUAGCACAUCCAAGGAAGGCAGCAGGCGCGCAAAUUACCCAAUGCCAACAGUGGCGAGGUAGCGACAAUAAAUACUGAUACAGGGCUCUUUUGGGUCUUGUAAUCGGAAUGAGUACAAUUUAAAUCUCUUAACGAGGAACAAUUGGAGGGCAAGUCUGGUGCCAGCAGCCGCGGUAAUUCCAGCUCCAAUAGCGUAUAUUAAAGUUGUUGCAGUUAAAAAGCUCGUAGUUGAACUUUGGGCCUGGCUGGCCGGUCCGCCUCACCGCGAGUACUGGUCCGGCCGGGCCUUUCCUUCUGGAGAUCCGCAUGCCCUUCACUGGGCGUGUUGGGGACCCAGGACUUUUACUUUGAAAAAAUUAGAGUGUUCAAAGCAGGCCUUUGCUCGAAUACGUUAGCAUGGAAUAAUAGAAUAGGAUGUGCCGUCCUAUUUUGUUGGUUUCUAGGACAGCCAUA
rnacentral:rRNA from 1 species